rnacentral:rRNA from 1 species
GAUGAACGCUGGCGGCGUGCCUAAUACAUGCAAGUCGAGCGAACAGACGAGGAGCUUGCUCCUCUGACGUUAGCGGCGGACGGGUGAGUAACACGUGGAUAGCCUACCUAUAAGACUGGGAUAACUUCGGGAAACCGGAGCUAAUACCGGAUAAUAUAUUGAACCGCAUGGUUCAAUAGUGAAAGACGGGUUUGCUGUCACUUAUAGAUGGAUCCGCGCCGCAUUAGCUAGUUGGUAAGGUAACGGCUUACCAAGGCAACGAUGCGUAGCCGACCUGAGAGGGUGAUCGGCCACACUGGAACUGAGACACGGUCCAGACUCCUACGGGAGGCAGCAGUAGGGAAUCUUCCGCAAUGGGCGAAAGCCUGACGGAGCAACGCCGCGUGAGUGAUGAAGGUCUUCGGAUCGUAAAACUCUGUUAUUAGGGAAGAACAAAUGUGUAAGUAACUAUGCACGUCUUGACGGUACCUAACCAGAAAGCCACGGCUAACUACGUGCCAGCCGCCGCGGUAA